rfam:Ictidomys tridecemlineatus contig023759, whole genome shotgun sequence.
AAGGGUGUAGCUCAGUGGCAGAGCUCGAGCUUAACAUGUGGGAGGCCCUGGGUUCAAUCCCCAGUGCCUCUA